rnacentral:lncRNA from 1 species
AUACUCUGAUGAGUGGGCUUUUUCUGUAGAUUCACUAACCAUUGUGGGUGGUCUGUACCCUUUAAAGUGUCCGACCCACUUUCGAACAAAUCUUCUCUGGGGUUUCGUGGCAACAAUCGCCAUCUGGGAUACGCUUAAACAUAUUACUUUCACUCCAACCUUAGGUGAUUGGGUCCAUACAGAAACUCUACCUUCAAAGCUACAUGUCUAUUGUCUUGAAUUUAUGACCAUUGCAAUUAAUAGCACAUCAAAUCAGCCCGGC